UAUGAUUAUAUUGCGUACUACUUCUGAUUGCACAAAAUAUGUCAAGCAAAUAUACUUAGCUUCAAGUUUGCAUAUAUGUCAAACAAGUAUAAGCUGUCAAGAAAACUUAUUUGUUUUCUGAAGUCCACCAUAUUUAAGGUUCUUAAAAUUCAAGAGGAUCAUGGGGCUUCUUAUCAAGCAAAGCCAAAAUGCUUAGCAAAA
rnacentral:misc_RNA from 1 species